rnacentral:rRNA from 1 species
GACGAACGCUGGCGGCGUGCCUAAUACAUGCCAGUCGAGCGGACGAAUCGAAAGCUUGCUUUUGAUUCGUUAGCGGCGGACGGGUGAGUAACACGUGGGCAACCUGCCCUGUAGACGGGGAUAACACCGAGAAAUCGGUGCUAAUACCGGAUAACACGAAAUGUCGCAUGACGUUUCGUUGAAAGACGGCGCAAGCUGUCGCUACAGGAUGGGCCCGCGGCGCAUUAGCUAGUUGGUGAGGUAACGGCUCACCAAGGCGACGAUGCGUAGCCGACCUGAGAGGGUGAUCGGCCACACUGGGACUGAGACACGGCCCAGACUCCUACGGGAGGCAGCAGUAGGGAAUCUUCCGCAAUGGACGAAAGUCUGACGGAGCAACGCCGCGUGAGCGAAGAAGGCCUUCGGGUCGUAAAGCUCUGUUGUUAGGGAAGAACAAGUAACGCAGUAACUGGCGUUACCGUGACGGUACCUAACGAGAAAGCCACGGCUAACUACGUG